GCUUAACACAUGCAAGUCGAGCGAGAAUCGUUUUGCUGAAGGCUUCGGUCCGAUGCAGAAUGAGGAAAGCGGCGAACGGGUGAGUAACGCGUGGGCAACCUGGCCUUAAGAAAAGGAUAGCCCCCGGAAACGGGGAGUAAUACUUUAUGAGAAUAGAAAAGGGCAUCCUGUUUCUAUUCAAAGCGCAAGCGCUUAAGGAUGGGCCCGCGUAUCAUUAGCUAGUUGGUGAGAUAACAGCCCACCAAGGCAACGAUGAUUAGCCGGUCUGAGAGGGCGAACGGCCACAUUGGAACUGAGAGAAGGUCCAAACUCCUACGGGAGGCAGCAGUGGGGAAUAUUGCGCAAUGGAGAAGAACUCUGACGCAGCAAUACCGCGUGAGCGAAGAAGGUCUUCGGAUCGUAAAGCUCUGUUAUCAGGGAAGAAGAAAAUGACGGUACCUGAUGAGCAAGUCCCGGCUAACUACGUGCCAGCAGCCGCGGUAA
rnacentral:rRNA from 1 species